UUCUCUCAUUUGCAUCUCCUUUCCGCAUCCAAGAGAAGCAUCCUCAGCUGAAACUGGAACAGCACAGCACAGCAUAUUCCAAUAGAUGUUGUGAUGGUGAAUUAUUUAAGAGAACUAUUGGGGCAAACUGGGGUUAUCCAGGAAAGUUAAAGUAGCUUCCGUGAGAAAAGGGGAGUCCACAAUAGCCAGCAACCAACCAGAUGGUACAGGAAGAUGUCCAGCAGCUCUAACAGCAAAGGCCCCAGUGUCCAGCAGCAAGCACAAUUGGUACAGCAAAGGUUUUUACAUUUGCUUGUCUGUCACUGUGUUGUGAACAUGUAUAUAUUUACAUCCAAAAUGAAAACCAGAAUUUGGAUAUGGAAUUUGCUUCACCCAAACCCCAGGUUUAUUCCUUACAAAACAAAACAAAACUUAACAAUGUUUUCUGGCCACAAAUAUAUAUGCAGUUUCCAAUAGGAGAGAAUUUAUGUAGUUUGGGUUUGAACUGUUAGAAUCCUUGGUGCUCUCUGAACUUGGUUGUUUGUUGCAGAUAUUUCAUUACCCAACCAGGUAACGUAAUCAGUGCUAAUGAGUGUGGGGUUUGCUCCCCAUUUAAAUACAAUAGCUUGCUCUGCCAACGUUGGGGCUGGGAUUGAUGCUGUGGGUUUUCUCCUUGAUAGUUCCCUUGAUUAGAGUACUAUUUUUUGUUUGUUUGCUUAUCUGGGUGUAAGCUAUUGAAGAGAAUGUGUUCUGUUUCCUUUCUAGUUUUUUUUAUUGUCAUUUGAAUGGUGUGUAAAUAUGGUUUAUUUCUAUGUGUCUAUUGAUGACUGAUAGAUCUGAAUGCCAAGCUUCCAGGAAUUCUCUAGCAUUUUGGAUUUAAUUUGUCAGUUUCCAGUUAAAACUGGAAAUGAGUUUUCAUCAUGUCUUUUAACUGCUGUAUUAUUUUCAAUGCUUUCUUCAAAUGCUACAAUUCAGAUAAAUGGCUAUCCAACCUGUUUAAA